GAUGAACGCUGGCGGCGUGCCUAAUACAUGCAAGUCGAGCGAACGGACGCGAAGCUUGCUUCUCUGAUGUUAGCGGCGGACGGGUGAGUAACACGUGGAUACCCUACCUAUCAGACUGGGAUAACUUCGGGACACCGGAGCUAAUACCGGAUAAUCUUUUGAACCGCAUGGUUCAAAAGUGAGAGACGGCCUUGCUGUCACUUAUAGCUGCAUCCGCGCUGCAUUAGCUAGUUGGUAAGGUAACGGCUUACCAAGGCAACGAUGCAUAGCCGACCUGAGAGGGUGAUCGGCCACACUGGAACUGAGACACGGUCCAGACUCCUACGGGAGGCAGCAGUAGGGAAUCUUCCGCAAUGGGCGAAAGCCUGACGGAGCAACGCCGCGUGAGUGAUGAAGGUCUUCGGAUCGUAAAACUCUGUUAUUAGGGAAGAACAUAUGUGUAAGUAACUGUGCACAGCGUGACGGUACCUAAUCAGAAAGCCACGGCUAACUACGUG
rnacentral:rRNA from 1 species